rnacentral:rRNA from 1 species
GAUGAACGCUGGCGGCGUGCCUAAUACAUGCACGUCGAGCGAACAGACGAGGAGCUUGCUCCUCUGACGUUAGCGGCGGACGGGUGAGUAACACGUGGAUAACCUACCUAUAAGACUGGGAUAACUUCGGGAAACCGGAGCUAAUACCGGAUAACAUGUUGAACCGCAUGGUUCAACAGUGAAAGACGGUCUUGCUGUCACUUAUAGAUGGAUCCGCGCCGCAUUAGCUAGUUGGUAAGGUAACGGCUUACCAAGGCAACGAUGCGUAGCCGACCUGAGAGGGUGAUCGGCCACACUGGAACUGAGACACGGUCCAGACUCCUACGGGAGGCAGCAGUAGGGAAUCUUCCGCAAUGGGCGAAAGCCUGACGGAGCAACGCCGCGUGAGUGAAGAAGGUCUUCGGAUCGUAAAACUCUGUUAUUAGGGAAGAACAAAUGUGUAAGUAACUAUGCACGUCUUGACGGUACCUAAUCAGAAAGCCACGGCUAACUACGU